CCUAACAUUAAUGCCACAACAACAACUUUAGUACCUCAUUUCCUAGUGCUUAUAGCUACUUGAUCAUCAAUAGCCUACUCCAUUAAGCUAGCUCUAAUUGGCAAUGGCAGUCUCAUCUGCAAUGCAAUCCAUCUUAGUAAGACCAACUUUGAAUCGUGUAGUUUCAAACAGAUCUACUAAUAGGGUGAACCAGUUUCUAAUUCCCACUAGUUAUGUGCCACAUUUGCCCAGAUAUACUAGUAUGCGAGUUCGUUGCAUGGCAGAGGAGGACCAGCAGGAGCAGCCAAAGCCUGUAACAACUUCACCUUCACCACCUCAGCCCCAACAAACCCCUCGUCCUGCACCCAAGGUAUACCUACCCUUAACCCAAAAGAUACUUCUUUCUUUGUUUUUUUGAGUUAGAAACCCUAAUUAUAUAUGACUAUUUACCAAAUAGUUUAAGCACACAAAAUUAUUCAUGAACUUUUUUGACCUCGCUCAGCAAAUUAUAAUUAAAGCAAAAUUGAUUUCACAUAAAUUUGUUAUUGAUCCUAACUCUAUUAUACACAACUUAAAAUAUCUCACCUUGAUUUUGUGAAAAAAUUGUGCCUAAUUUAUACAUUUUAAACUUUUUAAGUAAUGUCAGAGACUUAAUUAUAACCGUUAAGGUAUCUCUUCAACUAAGAAGUAGAGAUAAGUCUUCAGGUAUAGGUAGGCUACAACAUGCGUGAUUCUUUAAAUACUAAGAUAAAAUACAGCAUUCCCUAAAAUUAAA